rnacentral:pre_miRNA from 1 species
AAUAUAUGACGCCGUUGACUUUUUGUCCAACGUUUGACCAUUCGUCUUAUUCAAAAAAUUUAUGUAAUUAACAUUUAUUUUAUUAUGACUUAAUUCAUCAUCAAAUGUUUUUUGAGCAUGACAUAAAUAUUUUUCAUAUUUGCAUAAAAUUUUUGAAUGAAACGAAUGGUUAAACGUUGGUUGAAAAGUCAACGGCGUCAUACAUU